rnacentral:rRNA from 1 species
GACGAACGCUGGCGGCGUGCUUAACACAUGCAAGUCGAACGGACAGGUCAUGCUUUUGUGGGGUGCUCGAGUGGCGAACGGGUGAGUAACACGUGAGUAACCCGCCCUUGACAUUGGGAUAACUUCCGGAAACUGGGGCUAAUACCGGAUAGGAGAUCCUGCUGCAUGGUGGGGGUUGGAAAGUUUCGGCGGUUGGGGCUGGACUGGCGGCUUCUCAGCUGGUUGGUGGGGUAGUGGAUGACCAAGGCUAUGACGGGUAGCCGACCUUAGAGGGUGACCGGCCACAUGGGUACUGCGAGACGGCCCAGACGCCUACGGUAGGCAGCAGUGGAGAAUAUUGCGCAGUGGGCGGAAGCCUGAGGCGGCAGCGCCGCGUUCGUGAUGACGGCCUUCGGGGUGUAAACCGCUUUCGCCUGUGACGAAGCGUUAGUGACGGUAAUGGGUAAAAAAGCACCGGCUAACUACGUG